ACCACAGCACCUGCCCUCCGUGCCUGGAGCUGCUCAGGAGGUGGGAGGUGAGGGGCAGGAGGCCACAACAGCCGGGCCGAGAACUACUGGUGGCGUGGCCAGAACACACGGACGCUGUGUGUGGGGCCCUUCCCUCGCAACGUGGUGACCUCCGUGGCCGGCCUGUCGGCCCAGGACAUCAGCCAGCCCCUGCAGAACAGCUUCAUCCACACAGGGCAUGGCGACAGUGACCCCCGCCACUGCUGGGGCUUCCCGGACAGGAUUGACGAACUGUAUCUGGGAAACCCCAUGGACCCCCCCGACCUCCUGAGCGUGGAACUGAGCACCUCCCGGCCCCCCCAGCAUCUAGGACGGGUGAAAAAACCAACCUAUGACCCUGUGAGCGAGGACCAAGACCCCUUGUCCAGUGACUUCAAGAGGCUGGGCCUGCGGAAGCCAGGCCUGCCCCGAGGGCUGUGGCUGGCGAAGCCCUCGGCGCGGGUGCCGGGCACCAAGGCCAGCCGAGGCAGCGGGGCUGAGGUCACGCUCAUCGACUUUGGUGAGGAGCCCGUGGUCCCGGCCCUAC
rnacentral:sRNA from 1 species